GAUGGCGUGGUGGAGACCUAUUUCCGAGAUGCGGCGGCCAGGUACGGCCAUGAGGUUUCCUGAACGGGUGGAGUGGCCUCUUCCCGAGUUCGGCGGCCGGCAGUGGCUGAACCACAGGCCCACUCCCUCUACUUCCAUAUGCUUUCUUCUCUCCUGUACGCAUCUAUCUGAUUUUAUGCAGUGUUUGAGGAACAGGGGCGGCAGCCAGAACAUGAGCAUAAUAACAAGGUAGCAUAUAUGUUGCAAGGAAACGAUAUGCUAUCGUGACAAUGCAUCAGUUGGGCACACAUGAGAGGUUCCCUUGGAAGCUCCAAAUUGCUAUCAACCUCAACAUCUCUAAACAAUUUCUCCGAGCCUUCAAUCCAGCAAUCAAAAAGCCAGUGGGACUAGGGGAUGAAGUAGAUACAACACUUCUGACCACUAUUUCUUCUGGACGCACAACUCGCUCCAACGUGUAAUCAGUUACAUCUCAAGCCCAAUAUCAAGCAAUUUUAGUUAUUUGCCACUGCAUGAUUUCUCUAACAGAUAUUUAUUUUUCACGGUUCAUUUUUAUGUGUAAUAUUUUAUAGACUUAAA